ACGUAGGGGGCAAGCGUUGUCCGGAAUUACUGGGCGUAAAGCGCACGCAGGCUGAAUUAUAAGUCGGUAGUCAAAGGCUGCGGCUCAACUUCCGUAUUUCUAUCGAUACUGUAAAUCUAGAGUAUGUGAGAGGUAAGCGGAAUUCCCGGUGUAGCGGUGAAAUGCGUAGAUAUCGGACGGAACACCAGUGGCGAAGGCGGCUUCCUGGCACAAUACUGACGCUCAUGUGCGAAAGCGAGGGCAGCGAACGG
rnacentral:rRNA from 1 species